UACAGAGGUCUCGAGCGUUGUUCGGAUUCAUUGGGCGUAAAGGGUGCGUAGGUGGCAAGGUAAGUUGGAUGUGAAAGCUUAGGGCUUAACCCUAAAAGAGCAUUCAAUACUGCCUAGCUUAGAGGACUGGAGAGGAGAGUGGAAUUCCCGGUGUAGCGGUGAAAUGCGCAGAUAUCGGGAAGAACACCCGUGGCGAAGGCGGCUCUCUGGGACGGUACUGACGCUGAGACGCGAAAGCGUGGGGAGCGAACAGG
rnacentral:rRNA from 1 species